rnacentral:rRNA from 1 species
UCUUUCUUUGCUGGCGACCGGCGCACGGGUGAGUAACACGUAUCCAACCUGCCCUUUACUCGGGGAUAGCCUUUUGAAAGAAAGAUUAAUACCCGAUAGUAUAAUGAUUCCGCAUGGUUUCAUUAUUAAAGGAUUCCGGUAAAGGAUGGGGAUGCGUUCCAUUAGGUUGUUGGUGAGGUAACGGCUCACCAAGCCUUCGAUGGAUAGGGGUUCUGAGAGGAAGGUCCCCCACAUUGGAACUGAGACACGGUCCAA